rnacentral:piRNA from 1 species
UGUGAUGGGCACAUGUGGAAACACAUCCCU